rnacentral:rRNA from 1 species
CCUACGGUUGGCAGCAGUGGGGAAUAUUGGACAAUGGGGGAAACCCUGAUCCAGCGACGCCGCGUGAGUGAAGAAGUAUUUCGGUACGUAAAGCUCUAUCAGCAGGAAAGAAAAUGACGGUAACUGACUAAGAAGCCCCGGCUAACUACGUGCCAGCAGCCGCGGGAAUACGUAGGGGGCAAGCGUUACCCGGAUUUACUGGGGGCAAAGGGAGCGUAGACGGGAGCGCAAGGCUGGAGGGAAAUGCCGGUGCCCAACCCCGGAACUGCUCUGGAAACUGUUAAGCUGGAGUGCAGGAGACGUAAGCGGAAUUCCAGGUGUAGCGGUGAAAUGCGUAGAUAUCAGGAGGAACACCGGCGGCGAAAGCGGCUUACUGGACUGUAACUGACGUUGAGGCUCGAAGGCGUGGGGAGCAAACAGGAUUAGAUACCCCAGUAGUC